ensembl:misc_RNA Metazoa_SRP Metazoan signal recognition particle RNA
GCUGGGUGUGGUGGUGUACACCUGUAGUCCCAGCUACUUGGGAGGCUGAGGCAGGCGAAUUGCUUGAACCCAGGAGGUGGAGGUUGCAGUGAGCCGAGAUCACACCACUGCACUCCAGCCUAGGUGACAAAGCGAGACUCUGUCUCAA